GAACGAGCGGGGCGGGCGGCCCUGGGAAAAACACCCGGCAGCGUGAGAACCCCGAGGCGGGCUGGCACCGAGUUAGAGACUCUCUCUCUCUCUUUCUUUUUUUUUUUUUUUUCCUUUUUUUUUUCUUUCUUUUUAUUUUUUUUUAUUGUUAGGGACUCGAAAAUGAAACUUCCUCCUCCCUGAUAAUUAAUAAUACUAAUGAGCUCGGUGCCCGAUUGUCCGUCGCUGCCCUCUCCCCCGGUCCCCGCCGGCCGCGCAGGGCCGGGGCGCAGUGGGACGCGGUGUUCUGGGCUGAUUUCACAUUUGGCAGCUUUCACUGGUGUGGUGGGUCUCUCUUUCUCCGUCUCUCCCCGUCCCUCCCUUAGUUUCUUCCUUUCUCUCCCGGCUGAUAGCCGCUUCCCCGCCGCCAGCCUCUCCCUCCCCGCCCGCAGCCCCUCCGUGGCCAUCCCGGCCCCACUUCCAACAACUUUCCUCUCGAGGAGCCGGAGGAAGGAAGAUAUUUGUGUGAACCUGAACCCAUGCGCUUAUAGCUCAGCUACUUCAUUUAAGUGGAGAGGUGGAGGUGGAGGGGGGCUGAAGGAGGAGGGGGACACACACAACAACAACAACAACAACAAAAAACACAAAGACGAGAGAAUGUUGAUUAGAAACAAAUGAUCCUGUCCCCCCUCCCCUUCCCUCUCUCUAGGUUGUGAGUGUGAGUGUGUGUGUGUGUGUGUGUGCGUGUGUGUGUCUUUUUCUUGUUGUGGUGGAGGCGUCGAGCCAUAUGGGGGAGUGAUAGAGGAAUUUUAGUCAGAAACUGUUCGUUAUGUUACACUGGCUUUUCCCUUUGUGUUGUCUUUGAUCUAUUUGCUUGGCUUAGUAUUACCAAAAAAAAAAAAAAAAAAACCCCAAAAGAAAAAAACCUCAACUAAAAUAAUAUAUUCCGAGCAGCUUCCCAAGGAUCCGUUCCUUGUUAUCUUUUUUUAAAGUCUCUCCCCCUCCACCACCACCCUUUACUCUUGUGUCUGUCAUUAUUUAAGGUGGUCCUCACAGAGGAGACCUCCCCUUCCCCUCAUCUCUGGGUAAUUUAGUAGACAUUAAAAUUACACGUAAUGUUUCCCUCUCCUCUCUUGUGUUUCCUCUGUUCUUUUUAUUAAAUGUUGGUUAUUGAUUUUCUAAAAUCAAUGUCUGUUGUGGGGCUUUUUUCCCCUUACAAGUAUCUAAAGCACGUUGCUGAUCAACUGGAUAACAAAAGCUUUGUGUCAAGUAGCCUUUUUUCUUAUGUUAAACAGUCAUUUUUGAGAGAAAAAGAGAAUGAGAUUUAAAGCAACGCAUCCAGAAGUGCUCUUUUGCAGUAAAGAAUAUUCUGAGUGUUUGAGGGGGUUUUAUUCUUCUUCCUCAGCCUCCUUGCUUUUCCAGGCAAGACUAUUAGUUUAGCGUGUUAAACCCAUCACAUGCUCUCUGAUGAGGGAUGCAUCUACGUGUGUAAUAUUUUCUCAACAUGAUUUGAGUCCUAAAAAAAACCCCACCACCACCCUUACCCUCCCCGCCAGGGGAAAAAAAAAAAUAAAUAAAAAAAAAAAUAGCUGGGUGCCUCUGUUUGCCCAGGACACCAGGACCGAAUCCUGGUAGUGCAGCCAAGACUUUGGGAGCACGUAUGGAGCGGGGUGGCAGAUUCUGGUUGUUCCCAUGCAAAAAGGUGUUUUCAGGGAGCUGAACUAACUUGGAAAAGCCACCACACUUGGGAGACGAAAGUUUAAUUGCGAUUUUUAAGAAGCACGUAUCCAAUGCCUUUCCUGUUGGGAAUUGCCUAGGAUUUAUCUGGACUGAGUGGAUUUUUCUUCUUUCCUGGAAUCGUGGAAAAGAUGUUACUUCUGAGCUUGUGUCUUUGCUGAUAACACCAGAAACGGUGAUGCUUAUCAAACUCGGACAGAAAUUCCUUAGAAACGCAGCAGAACCAAAAUAAAAUUUAAAAGCCACGGAAAAAAAAAAAAAAAAUUAAAUAGAUGGUGAAGAAGGAAGCGAGAGGAGCGUUAGUGAAUCCCAGACACAUUACAGUCGGGGACAAAACAGAAUAAUCCAACUAAUGCCUCAGUGGG